AUUUGGGAGUUGUCAUUUACCCCUCAAAAAUGACACCUCCCUUGACCGUUCAUCACAAAUCUUACGGCUGAUAAUUUUUUAUUUAACAUUUGGAUUUAUUUUUCUUUUCAAUUGCCCUCAAUGUUUAAUUAAAUUACAAUAUUGCCAUUUUUCUUUCGUUUUCUUCCCCUUCCCCGUAAAACCCUGAGCUAUUGGGUCCCUCUAAGAAAAGAAAAUAAACAUGUUUUCUUCCUCUUUUCCGUAAAUCCUUGAGAUAUUGGGUCCCUAUAAGAAAAGAAAAAGGCAAAGGUAAUGGAAAAUGAAUGUUACAUUUGGCAUCAUGUGGAAAAGGAAAUGGUUAUUCCUUAUCAUUUUGGUAGUGGAAAAAAAAGUUGAAAGAAUACAUACUCUCCAUCAUAUUCCAUUCAGCAGAGGCAGCAAGCAAGAAAUUUUUUUCUUCCUCUCAUUUCGGCAGUAAGAAUGAAGAAACCAUUUUUUUGUCAUGCAUCUUUGUCCUGGGUUUGCUGAGCUUCUUGGGCAACAAGUUGUAGUAGCGACAACGGGGCAGAGCAGCGGAGACCUGUGGCAGAGCGAGGCAGCAACCGGCCAUCUGACGGAGGUGAAAUCUAAAGCGGAGUGGAGGCAGAGGCGGAGGACCGGAGUCUCGCAUUCUUGCACUCUCGCACAGGAAGAAAGAAAAAACCUGCUUACACUUUGAGAAAUGGGAAGAUAAGAAAGCAUGCGUACAAUUAAAAAAAAUCAACAGCAUGGUGUACACUUUGGGAAAAACAAAGGUGGUCUCUCUCCUACUUUUGUUAGUUUUGUAGGCUUGUGCAGGCAUGCUAAGUUGCUAACCAUGCUUUUGCCAUUGUCCAUUGUCCAAUGUAUUUUAUAUAUUUAUAUUAAACAUUAUAUUUGUUAGUGGAUGCCACACUCACACACACCAUGUCAUUUAACAUAAAUAACCAUGAAGAAGCAGGCGCCAUAGCCAGAAAGAUAUCAUCUUUCUUUAUUUAUUUUUUUAAUUCUGUUAGAAAAAAAAAAAAAACCGUUUUUGCAUGGAAUAAGAAAGAAAGCAGAAACUAAUGUUUGGGUCUUGUGAUUCUGAGUUUCAUGGGAAAACACAAGUAAAAAAAAGUGCCUUGAGCCAUUAAAUCAAAUAAUCGUUGAAGCCGUGAAGCAGUGAGCAGGAUUAGUUUGGCAUGCUCCACUUGGCUUUUUCUGCAGGUGGUUUUUUUCAAAUGGCCGAGGAAUGAUGGCAUCUCAGGUUGUUUCUUUGUUUUUGGAAAUGCAUCUCAUCAGAUUGUUAAUGUCUUCAUUGGGCUUGCGAAUGAAUGGGGUACGGACCAAGGUAUUGCAAAGUUUCAUGGUCGAGGAACCACAGUCAGAUUUUUUUUUUCAUCGUAUUUUAUGUUUGCAAAUGAUAUUUCUGGCGGUGUUUGAUGAACCAGAAUUCCGAUUUUGUUUUUCGGCUUUGAUGCUUGAAUGGAGACAAGUUGUCUAAUAAUAGUUGGCAGCCUUGUCUUUUUUG